GACGUAGGGCGCGAGCGUUUGUCCGGAUUUAUUGGGCGUAAAGAGCUCGUAGGCGGCUUGUCGCGUCGACUGUGAAAACCCGCGGCUUAACUGCGGGCUUGCAGUUGAUACGGGCAGGCUAGAGUUCGGUAGGGGAGACUGGAAUUCCAGGUGUAGCGGUGAAAUGCGUAGAUAUCUGGAGGAAUACCGGUGGCGAAGGCGGCAUCCUGGACCGGCAUUGACGCUGAACAGCGAAAGCUAGGGAGCAACGGGAGUU
rnacentral:rRNA from 1 species